UUAAUUACUAUGAUGGGGACAGUAGUAAAGGGAAUUUAUUGCACAGAGAAAUAAUCCUAAGGUGAGAGAUUAUUAAUAAACCUUUUAUGAAGAUCACCUCGGAGUAUAAUAUCCGAAAUUAGAGUAGGAUAUUACGCUAUAGGCGUUAUAUUAAAAGAGUGAUAGGAUAGUAGAUUAUUUAUCCUAUAAUUUGGGUGGUACCGCGGAAAUCCGUCCCUAAG
rnacentral:ncRNA from 2 species